rnacentral:misc_RNA from 1 species
AUCAGAUCAGAUGCCUCCGUUUCUUGCUUCAGCAGUUCAGCUUCUGCUUGCUGUCGUAAUAACUGUCUUGCGGUUGUCGUAUCGUACGUACGUACCCGUGGCCGCGCCUGCGGUGAGCGCCAUGACGUCGCCGCUGCUCUGCGCGUUCACGGCCGAGUGGAUGGCGGCCAGGAUCUGGUCGUGGCUGGCGCCGAUCGCCUGCGCCAUCUCCACGCAGUGCGACGCCACCAGCGCCGCCGCGGACGCCACGGCCGCCGCGGUCUUGGCGCCGCCGCCGUCGCCCUUGGCCGGCCGCUGCUCCGGCGCCGCCGAGGACGACG